UGAGGAACAUGACCUUCGGCGGGGGAUAGCCGGCCCAACGGCCGGGUAAUACCGCGUACGACCACUUUGGGACAUCCCUCGGUGGUGAAAGCAGCAAUGCGCCGAUGGAGUGCCUCGCGGCCUAUCAGCUAGUUGGUGAGGUAACGGCUCACCAAGGCGACGACGGGUAGCUGGUCUGAGAGGAUGGCCAGCCACACUGGAACUGAGAUACGGUCCAGACUCCUACGGGAGCAG
rnacentral:rRNA from 1 species